ensembl:lincRNA
CGUGCAUACGACGAAUCACGUGGGCAUCUUGUUAAAAUGCAGAGUUUUGAGUCGAGGGUCUGGGGAGGGCUGAGAUUGUGCACUUGUAAGGAGAUGCCAGGUGGUGCUAAUUCUGCUGCACUGGACACCACACUUAGAGUGGCGAGGUCACUAAAUAAUAGGAGCGAAAGGAUGGUGAGAACACCGACAUCAGUGAGAAGGAGGCUGGCUGCAGAGACCAUGAAAAUGAAAUCCAUGCAUGGAAUGCAACCUUGCUGA